rnacentral:rRNA from 1 species
GACGAACGCUGGCGGCGUGCUUAACACAUGCAAGUCGAGCGGAGCGGCGAACGGGUGAGUAACGCGUGAGUAACUGCCCCCCUCUCUGUGAUAGCAGUUGGACACGGCUGCUAAUACCAGUAAUUGGGGGAUGACGCGCGUCCUAUCCGCGUGUUGGUGGGGUAGGGGCCUUCCGAGGCGACGACGGGUAGCCGGCCGGAGAGGGCGACCGGCCACAUUGGGCUGAGAUACGGCGCAAGCGGCGACGGGGGGCAGGAGAGGGGAAGAUUGCACAAUGGGGGAAAACGUGAUGCAGCAACGCGCGUGCGGGAGGACGGAAUUGGGGUUGUAAACCGCUUUCAGCCAUGAUGCGGUAGUGGCAGAAGAAGCACCGGCUAACUACGUGCCAGCCGCCGCGGUAAUUC